rnacentral:lncRNA from 1 species
GCCGUCCACCCCGCCCCGCCGGGGGCUGGGGCGAAAGCGGAACAAGUCGGCGGGGCUGGUUGGGCCGCGACCUCCGGGGCACGUGGCCGCAGACAGUGCCCGUGCCGGGGCGGGGAGGCGAGUUCUCCCUGCGGCCGCGGACCCUGGAUGGUGGCGUCGCCCGAAGACGCGCCUCACCGGCCUGGGUGGGGUUGCCUUUUGCCCUCGAGGCUGGCCUGAGCGCUGGGGGGCCGCUGGCUAACCCUGAGGUAGAUACUCGGGAAAUGGGUGGAAUAGGGAAAGGGACUCAGCCCUUCCGCCCUUUUCCCCAGUCGAGGCCCGCGUCACUGCCCUGUGGGUGCAGACGCCUCCAGUGUCACUCCCCUGGGUUUCGCUUGGGCAGAAGAAGAGAUUGUAGGCCGGACCCCAACGCCGAAGCCCUGAGGCUUCUAAUGUGAGGAAAAACACGGAAUGACAAGUGUGGGAAAGAGCAAGCACUAAAUUACUGUCAGAAAAAUAAACGGAGUAGCACAGUGCUGCUCGGUGAUUUACGGGGGCAAUUAGUCACCACCCCACGGCGCUGCUGAGGACAGCACAGCAGCAGACAAGUCAGGCCCACGAGGAAGAAGAGGCUUUGCACUGCUCUCCAGACAACUUUUCAAACAACAAGAGAGGAUAUUUGAGCACAUUAGGUUUUGUGUCUUCAUUCUGGGUACCUACUCUUCAUAUUAUUCUACCAACUUAAUACAUAAACAUAUUUUUAGCACAAUAUGAACCUGUUCUAUGUGUGUUUAAAAGCCUCCAGCAGCAACUUUUUUCUCUCCCACUGUCCAAAGUUGGGUUUUCCCCAUCCCUUAAAAAACAAAACAAAAAAACCUUUCUUCACUCCAAAUUGUCCCCCUGGUGUGUGGUUUUGGUCUGUCUCAUUACUUCUUGCAUCUUGCUACAUGUUCUGCCUUUGCUCAGAGCCACUGGGUGCUAAGGAAUUUGGUCUGCUGCUCCUCUGGGAAAGUUUGGUAAGCUGGUACAAGGAGGUGAUGAACAAGGCUAAAUGAAAAUCAUACAUAAACUUCCCAAUAUUUGUGAACAUGUUCUUUAACAUACCAUACAUAGUUUCUAUGUAUAUGUAACAUAGCAAAACAAACUUGCUAAGGUAUAAUUAAUUGGUAUGCAUGCCUUCAUAAAUAUUCACCAUCAGAAGAAACCUAGAAUGAAAGGUUGUG